rnacentral:tRNA from 1 species
AUUUAGAUAGUUUAAGUAAAAUAUAAUAUUGAAGAUAUUAUGAUAAUAGUAAUUAUUUCUAAAUA